rnacentral:sRNA from 1 species
GCGCGGACCGGAGCCCGAAGCCGGGUUAGGCGUUGAGAGGCGGCUGAGGAAGUGAGAGGGCUCGGAUUCCCACCCUGGCCUCACGGACCUUGGGCUGACCGGUCUGUCUGGCUUCAGGAGCUCGCCGCCGCCGCUGCCGCCGCCGCCACUGCCGCCCGAAACAACCCCGAGCCAAGCGGCCGACGCCCAGAGGGUGGGCUGGAAGCUGAUGAGCUGCUGCCGGCCCGGGAGAAAGUGGCAGAGCCCCCACCACCUCCGCCUCCGCACUUCUCAGAGACUUUUCCAAGUCUGCCCGUCCUCCCAGCUGACAUCAAGCUUAGGGGCCUCAGGAUUCUGAACUUGAGCAGAAAACAGCUGUUUGUGCUGCUCAGGCAUCCUUGGCUGGGGAAAGGGGAACGUGAGAAAGAGAUGGUUUCAUUUUAAGGUCAAGGGUAAGGAUUGAAAGGGGAUCAGGAGGCCUAAGUAACUGGGAGAAAAAAUCUGGCCACACUCAAGGUGCUACAUGGCUGGGAGCCAUGGAAAUGAGGUUCGGGGACUGCA